AUUGAACGCUGGCGGCAUGCUUUACACAUGCAAGUCGAACGGGCUUAGGGGCUUGCUCCUAAGUUAGUGGCGAACGGGUGAGUAAUACAUCGGAACGUACCGUGUAGUGGGGGAUAACGUAGCGAAAGUUACGCUAAUACCGCAUACGAUCUACGGAUGAAAGUGGGGGACCUUCGGGCCUCACGCUAUACGAGCGGCCGAUGUCUGAUUAGCUAGUUGGUGAGGUAAAGGCUCACCAAGGCAACGAUCAGUAGCGGGUCUGAGAGGAUGAUCCGCCACACUGGGACUGAGACACGGCCCAGACUCCUACGGGAGGCAGCAGUGGGGAAUUUUGGACAAUGGGCGAAAGCCUGAUCCAGCCAUGCCGCGUGUCUGAAGAAGGCCUUCGGGUUGUAAGGAC
rnacentral:rRNA from 1 species